rnacentral:rRNA from 1 species
GAAUGGCUCAUUAUAUAAGUUAUCGUUUAUUUGAUAGUACCUUACUACUUGGAUAACCGUGGUAAUUCUAGAGCUAAUACAUGCUAAAAAUCCCGACUUCGGAAGGGAUGUAUUUAUUAGAUUAAAAACCAAUGCCCUUCGGGGCUCACUGGUGAUUCAUAAUAACUUCUCGAAUCGCAUGGCCUUGCGCCGGCGAUGGUUCAUUCAAAUUUCUUCCCUAUCAACUUUCGAUGUUUGGGUAUUGGCCAAACAUGGUUGCAACGGGUAACGGAGGGUUAGGGCUCGACCCCGGAGAAGGAGCCUGAGAAACGGCUACUACAUCCAAGGAAGGCAGCAGGCGCGCAAAUUACCCAAUCCCGACACGGGGAGGUAGUGACAAUAAAUACUGAUACAGGGCUCUUUUGGGUCUUGUAAUUGGAAUGAGUACAAUUUAAAUCCCUUAACGAGGAACAAUUGGAGGGCAAGUCUGGUGCCAGCAGCCGCGGUAAUUCCAGCUCCAAUAGCGUAUAUUAAAGUUGUUGUGGUUAAAAAGCUCGUAGUUGAACCUUGGGCCUGGCUGGCCGGUCCGCCUCACCGCGUGUACUGGCUCGGCCGGGCCUUUCCCUCUGUGGAACCCCAUGGCCUUCACUGGUCGUGGCGGGGAAACAGGACUUUUACUUUGAAAAAAUUAGAGUGCUCCAGGCAGGCCUAUGCUCGAAUACAUUAGCAUGGAAUAAUAGAAUAGGACGUGCGGUUCUAUUUUGUUGGUUUCUAGGACCGCCGUAAUGAUUAAUAGGGACAGUCGGGGGCAUCAGUAUUCAAUUGUCAGAGGUGAAAUUCUUGGAUUUAUUGAAGACUAACUACUGCGAAAGCAUUUGCCAAGGAUGUUUUCAUUAAUCAGGAACGAAAGUUAGGGGAUCGAAGACGAUCAGAUACCGUCGUAGUCUUAACCGUAAACUAUGCCGACUAGGGAUCGGACGAUGUUAUAUUUUGACUCGUUCGGCACCUUACGAGAAAUCAAA